rnacentral:rRNA from 1 species
AUUGAACGCUGGCGGCAGGCCUAACACAUGCAAGUCGAGCGAGCGGCGGACGGGUGAGUAAUGUAUGGGGACCUGCCCGAUAGAGGGGGAUAACUACUGGAAACGGUGGCUAAUACCGCAUACUAACGGAUGAGCCCAUAUGGAAUUAGCUAGUGGGUGGGGUAAAGGCUCACCUAGGGGACGAUCUAUAGCUGGCCUGAGAGGAUGAUCAGCCACACUGGAACUGAGACACGGCCCAGACUCCUACGGGAGGCAGCAGUGGGGAAUAUUGCACAAUGGGCGCAAGCCUGAUGCAGCCAUGCCGCGUGUAUGAAGAAGGCCUUAGGGUUGUAAAGUACUUUCAGCGGGGAGGCGUUACCCGCAGAAGAAGCACCGGCUAACUCCGUGCCAGCAGCCGCGGUAAUUC